GUACACGCUGUGACUAGCAUAUCAAUAAGCGGAGGAAAAGAAACUAACAAGGAUUCCCCUAGUAACGGCGAGUGAAGCGGGAAGAGCUCAAAUUUGAAAUCUUCAAGGUUUUACCUUGACGAAUUGUAGUUUAAAGAAGUGUUUUCUGUUGAGGUUUUGGUAAAAGUUCUUUGGAAUAGGACAUCAUAGAGGGUGAGAACCCCGUAUUUGACCUUUACUUUCAACUUUGUGAUACACUUUCAAAGAGUCGGAUUGUUUGGGAAUGCAGUCCAAAAUGGGUGGUAAAUUUCAUCUAAAGCUAAAUAUUGGCGAGAGACCGAUAGCGAACAAGUACCGUGAGGGAAAGAUGAAAAGAACUUUGAAAAGAGAGUUAAACAGUACGUGAAAUUGUCAAAAGGGAAGCGUUUGACACCAGUGUUGUUUUUCUGAAAAUCAAUUAAAGAACUGUUUAUGCUAAGCUGUUUAGACUUUAUCAGCUAUCUGUUUAGUUUUGAGCUUUUCUUUAAUGCACUUUUCAGUUAACAAGUCAACAUCAAUUUCUUUUGCUGUAAAAAAGCUUGAGGAAGGUGGCUUGAGAUUCGUCCUUAAGUGUUUAUAGCCUCUUGCCUAUGCAGUCGGAGAGAUUGAGGUCUGCAGCGUAGAUCCUUCGGGGCUAAAUGCAUUUGUGCUAAGUUAUAGCAUUUUAUAGACAACUUGUUGACUAUGAUUUGUCUUGUAGCUUACUCGCUUAUGUUAUUUUACCUACGCUUAGGAUGUUGAUAUGCAUGACUGAUAU
rnacentral:rRNA from 1 species